AAGGCCUCCUAUCAGGGGAUGGAGUGGCCCUCAUCUCCUAGCCUUCUAAUGCUAGGCUACUGGUAAAACCCACUUAUGCUGGCACACCUAAGGCCUGGGGCUGAGUUCAGUGGAUACAAGAAUGGCAGAUGCCAAGAACCCAUUCACCCAUCUCUGUGUGCCAAACGCCUUCAGAACAUCGCCAAGACUCUCCUUGAGCCCUGUCAGAUGGAGCUGGUCCCAGCUGGCAAUGGGUACCACUGUUCCGAAGACCCUUAAUAUAGAUUGAUUGAUU
rnacentral:lncRNA from 1 species